rnacentral:rRNA from 1 species
AACUCCUAUGGGGGGCAGCAGUGGGGAAUCUUGGGCAAUGGGCGCAAGCCUGACCCAGCAACGCCGCGUGAAGGAAGAAGGCUUUCGGGUUGUAAACUUCUUUUCUCAGGGACGAAGAAAGUGACGGUACCUGAGGAAUAAGCCACGGCUAACUACGUGCCAGCAGCCGCGGUAAUACGUGGGUGGCAAGCGUUAUCCGGAUUUAUUGGGUGUAAAGGGCGUGUAGGCGGGAACGCAAGUCAGAUGUGAAAACU